AAAAAUGUCUAAAUGCAUGUGAAUUAUAAUUUAUCUUUAAAUUAUUUUCUGUAUAUUUGGGUCUAGUGGAGGGCAUCCUUUAUACUGCUGAUUUAGAAUCUAAGAGAGAAAGAGAGAAGCUAUUAUUCCUUUGUUUGUCCAAGAGCCUUCCUCAAGUGUUUUUUUUUUUCCUUUCCCACUCAUUUUAUAAUUCUCUUGAAUUCCUGGCAUAUGAAAUAGGGGUUUUCCUUUGUUAUUAUCUUGUGCAAACUUGCAGGGCACUCACAAACCUUAAUCAAGUUACCUCAUGGGCCAGUCUAGCUCCUCUCAGAAAGCUCUUGAACCCCAUUUGCCAUUUAAAAAAAAAGUUUAAAGCUGUGUGAGAUGGUAUGACUUCAAUGUUUGAGAAGUCUGCCUUGGCUGAAUAUCUAAUCCCAUAAAUUAGGGGGAAUAAAAACCUCAUUGUAACCAGAACAACACUGGCUCUGAGACGUGUUGGGCAAAACAUGACCGCUUAGGCAGCAAAUGCGUCAGGGAGUGGCAGACCCCGAUGUGCGGGGAGGCAGUGGGAUAAUGGGAGCCUUGGGAGGCCCCGGUGGCCCUCAGGUGGGAAUAAUUCUGGAGAAAGAGCUGGUGCAGCCAGAACGGUGGGAGGGCUGCUAGUGGGGUGGAGAGAAUGAUUUAAGGAUUAGAGUUUGAAGAAGUUUGAAAGUAGAAUUUAACACUCUAACAAGCUCGGGUGAUGGAUAAGGAUAUUUUAUCCAUCCCUCCAUCCCUCCAGAUCGUCUCUUUGGAGAAAGGGACAAUCCUUUGUUUUGGAGGAGUUUAUAAAGUGGAAUUUAUUUUACUCGACUCCUUCUUUGAUUGAAAUAUUGUCAACUUAACAAAAUAGUGAAAGAGCAUUGGCCUGGAGUCAGAAGACUUGAAUUCUCAUCCUAGAUCUGCUACUAACUAGCUGUUUGACCCUGAGAAGUCACUUUACCAGAAUUACAGUCUUUCUCUGAGAUGAGGAAAGUGGAGUAGAUAUGUCACUUGCGGUCCCUCCCAAGUGCUAAGAUUCUAUGACUCCACGAAUUCAGGCUAUCAGAGGAGAACACUGCAGCGUUCUUCUACAUAGGUUGUAAAUGAUGAGGAAACUGAGGCACAGUUAACCAACCUGACCAAGGCUGUACAACUAGUAAGUGGGAGAACAGCAUUCCGACGUGGAUACUCGAGUAUUAUCACCUCCAGUUUAAAGAAUGCCUACCACAGCAUGGAGUGUCAAGCAGUGCCGUGCCUGCACCCGGGAUCUGAACCGGCGAACCCAGGGCUGCUGAGAAGCGGAAGGAAGAUUAACCUGGGCUAACAUCUGCUACCAAUCCUACUCUUUUUGCUGAGGAAGGCUGACCCUGAGCUCACAUCCGUGACCAUCUUCCUCUACGUUAUAUGUGGGACGCCUACCACAGCAUGGCUUGACAAGCGGUGCCAUGUCCAUACCCGGGAUCCAAACAGGCGAACUCUGGACUGCCAAAGUGGAAUGUGUGAGCUUAACCGCUGUGCCAUGGGACAGGCUUCUCCUUGUUGGAUCUUCUUAGAUUUUUAUUUUUAUUUUGUAACGUGGUAAACAAAGAGUUGGAAGUAAAGGUAGAAAUGUCUUUGCCAUUUUCUUGUUUCCUUGUUUUAUCAACAUUGUUUUGUCUCAGCCUGUGCUUUCUUAUCACGAAUCUUUUUCUUCCCUGAGGAAGAUUCAUCCUGAGCUAACAUCUGUUGCCAAUUUUCUUCUUUUUGUAUGUAAGCUGCCGCCACAGCAUGGCCACUGACGAGUGAUGUAGGUUUGUGCCAAGGAACCAAACCCGGGCCACUGAAGCAGAGAGUGCUGAACUUAACCACUAGGCCACCAGGGCUGGCCCCAAGAAUCUUUUUAAG
ensembl:lncRNA